UCCUAAUAGUUCAGUUUGUAAAGAAUCUGCCUGCAAUGCAGGAGAUCCAGGUUUGAUUCCUGGGUCAGGAA
rnacentral:tRNA from 1 species